AAGGUAGAAUGUAUAUUCGGGAAGACAUGUUCUUAUGGCGUCCUGUCUUGUAAAUAGACAAUAAUUCCUUGACGGUUGGUUACUGAAGACGAUUUGCCUAGUAAAUUACUUUACUUACUAAAAAAUCAGAAACCUGUAGGUCUAACCAUAAGAAAUAAGGCGGGAAUGCAUUCAACGGCCGUCCACUGUUUGAAAGGUAGAAGUAGGUCACGUCUCUCUGUACCAGUUCUUGGAUAAAAAUCCUCACUCAUUCUGACAGAUACGCCCCUUAAGGAGACAUCGCCACCAUGUCUCUCACUGAUCUUGUUCCAUGAACAAAACUUGCUUGCCACUAGGAAUGUUAGAAAAACCGAUUCGAUUGCUAUUGACGCCAUUUACAAUAUUUUCGUUUGAAAAAUAUGAACAAUGGCUCUUAUGAAGAUCUUCUCAUGGCUAUGAAGAUAAGAACUCUGAUAUGAUAUGGCCAUAUAAGAAGAUCCAAACCAUUCUUCAAGUAACCGUGGAAGGUAAGCAAAGAAAGGUGACAGAGGAAAACAUGGACAAAUAACUGCAAUGAGUGGGCAGACAAAUCGUUAAAAAGGAUCCGAUCUCAGGCACACAACCACGACAGACGGAAAAUAAAAUUACUUAAGUACCAUGUAUUGCGACAGCAUCACAAUAACUUGAGUAGAAAUUGGAAGUUCAGCGCAAAACGAUAUCUCACUGCAGACCUCAACACUAUGCACUAUCACAUUGAGACAAUCUCACUAAUUAAUUAAAUGUACGGACACUGUAUUUUGUUAUGCAACUAUAGAAUAUUACAAAGUGUAUUAAAAGCUCUAUUAGUCAAUACUGCGUUCUAUUGUGUUAGCAGUGCUAUUAAAUCACAUGUUAAUGUUAUCUCUACAGACUUUCAAUUAGAAACUAUAGAUAUGAUACUGAAGAAGAAGCAAGAAGUCCUGAAAUAUGCAUA